CAGUCGCCGCGGGAACACGAAGGGUGCAAGCGUUACUCGGAAUUACUGGGCGUAAAGCGUGCGUAGGUGGUGGUUUAAGUCCGUUGUGAAAGCCCUGGGCUCAACCUGGGAAUUGCAGUGGAUACUGGCUCGCUAGAGUGUGUCAGAGGAUGGUGGAAUUCCCGGUGUAGCGGUGAAAUGCGUAGAGAUCGGGAGGAACAUCAGUGGCGAAGGCGGCCAUCUGGGACAACACUGACGCUGAGGCACGAAAGCGUGGGGAGCAAACAGGAUUAGAUACCCGCGUAGUCCCUGUCUCUUAUAC
rnacentral:rRNA from 1 species